rnacentral:rRNA from 1 species
GACGAACGCUGGCGGCGUGCCUAAUACAUGCAAGUCGAACGCACAGUUUAUACCGUAGCUUGCUACACCAUAGACUGUGAGUUGCGAACGGGUGAGUAACGCGUAGGUAACCUGCCUGGUAGCGGGGGAUAACUAUUGGAAACGUUAGCUAAUACCGCAUAAUAUUAAUUAUUGCAUGAUAAUUAAUUGAAAGGUGCAAUUGCACCACUACCAGAUGGACCUGCGUUGUAUUAGCUAGUAGGUGAGGUAACGGCUCACCUAGGCGACGAUACAUAGCCGACCUGAGAGGGUGAUCGGCCACACUGGGACUGAGACACGGCCCAGACUCCUACGGGAGGCAGCAGUAGGGAAUCUUCGGCAAUGGACGAAAGUCUGACCGAGCAACGCCGCGGGAGUGAAGAAGGGUUUCGGAUCGUAAAGCUCUGUUGUAAGAGAAGAACGGGUGUGAGAGUGGAAAGUUCACACUGUGACGGUAUCUUACCAGAAAGGGACGGCUAACUACGUG